GAUGAACGCUAGCGGCAGGCCUAACACAUGCAAGUCGAGGGAGAGGUUAUCUUCGGGUAACCAAAACCGGCGCACGGGUGCGUAACGCGUAUACAAUCUGCCUUUCACAUAGGGAUAGCCCGAAGAAAUUUGGAUUAAUACCUAAUGGUAUAUAGGAGCGGCAUCGUUUUUAUAUUAAAGCUACGGUGGUGAAAGAUGAGUAUGCGUUCUAUUAGCUAGUUGGAGAGGUAACGGCUCCCCAAGGCGACGAUAGAUAGGGGUUCUGAGAGGGAUGUCCCCCACACUGGUACUGAGAUACGGACCAGACUCCUACGGGAGGCAGCAGUGAGGAAUAUUGGACAAUGGUCGGAAGACUGAUCCAGCCAUGCCGCGUGCAGGAUGAAGGUCCUAUGGAUUGUAAACUGCUUUUGUAAGGGAAGAAUAAGGAGUACGUGUACUUUGAUGACGGUACCUUACGAAUAAGCAUCGGCUAACUCCGUGCCAGCAGCCGCGGUAAUACGGAGGAUGCGAGCGUUAUCCGGAAUCAUUGGGUUUAAAGGGUCCGUAGGCGGGCUGAUAAGUCAGAGGUGAAAGCGCUUAGCUCAACUAAGCAACUGCCUUUGAAACUGUCAGUCUUGAAUGAUUGUGAAGUGGUUGGAAUGUGUAGUGUAGCGGUGAAAUGCUUAGAUAUUACACAGAACACCGAUAGCGAAGGCAUAUUACUAACAAUUUAUUGACGCUGAUGGACGAAAGCGUGGGGAGCGAACAGA
rnacentral:rRNA from 1 species